AGUGAACGCUGGCGGUAGGCCUAACACAUGCAAGUCGAACGGCAGCACAGUAAGAGCUUGCUCUUACGGGUGGCGAGUGGCGGACGGGUGAGGCAUACAUCGGAAUCUACUUUUUCGUGGGGGAUAACGUAGGGAAACUUACGCUAAUACCGCAUACGACCUCCGGGUGAAAGCAGGGGAUCUUCGGACCUUGCGCGAUUGAAUGAGCCGAUGUCGGAUUAGCUAGUUGGCGGGGUAAAGGCCCACCAAGGCGACGAUCCGUAGCUGGUCUGAGAGGAUGAUCAGCCACACUGGAACUGAGACACGGUCCAGACUCCUACGGGAGGCAGCAGUGGGGAAUAUUGGACAAUGGGGGCAAGCCUGAUCCAGCCAUACAGCGUGGGUGAAGAAGGCCUUCGGGUUGUAAAGCCCUUUUGUCGGGAAAGAAAAGCAGCAGGUUAAUACCCCGCUGUUCUGACGGUACCCAAAGAAUAAGCACCGGCUAACUUCGUG
rnacentral:rRNA from 1 species